CCUAUAGUUUACUGACAGAUAUUUAUUUGUUUAGUUACACUACUUAAUACUUUUGUAUCACAAAUGUGUAUUAUACAUACUUGCUUAUUAUAUGUACCUUAAAUCACAUGUAUUCUGUGAAGAGUGAACAAUAAACUGAAACUGAUAAAGUUUAGGAAUGUGGUGUAGAAAGAUUGUCUAGACUACACGGGGCAUUUCUUUGCUCCAUUGCGUUUGAAAAGGCUGGUUGGCCGUAAUUAAACUUAAACAUUGACCGAUAGUGGUAGACAUAAGGAUUGUAUUAUAGCUAUUACACAGGUACAGCUCGUUUAAAUGGGUCAACCGUGUUGAUGUACUUAUAAAAUAGACUGGCCCGGUUUAUAGGUUGGUCAGGGCUACGAUAUGUAUUGUAUUUUACUGUCCAAAUAUUUCUAUAAAGGGCUUCUUCCCCUUCCGUUUGGGUCCGUCUAUGUUUACAAACACGUUUGUUCAUUUUAUGGACUGCAAAUCCAAUAUAAGCUUUGCAAUAGAACUAUGACGGAUUAUCUUUGAACAUCCCUGGACUUAUUGUACUCAACUGCCACAUUAUCAAAGUUUAUUAGUUUUUUUAGUACAGUCCAUAAAAUAAACAAACGUGUUUGUAAACAUGGACGGUUCCAAACUGAAGGACAAGAAGCAUUUUAUAGAAAUAUUUCGAUGGCAAAAUACAAUACAUAUCCUUAGCCCUGACCAACCUAUAAACCGGGACUGUCUAUUUUAUAAUACAUCGACCGUGUUAACCCAUUUAAACGAGUAGUAAUGUCAGUGAGAAGAAAUUGUUUACAGACUAAGGAUUGUAUAGCUAUUUUUACACAGAUUCGACGGUUCCUGAAGAGUGAGUGAGUGAGCUGGGUUUUACGGCGAAUCUGUUCUUGAAGAAGCAGAAACAGGAAAAAUAAUAGAGAUGGCUACAUACGAUCCUAAAGGUAAGAAAACGAAGGAUUCUGAAGAAGGGGAAGAAGAUGAUCUGUUGGACGUGAUGCCUGGCAGAAGUCCGAAAAGAGAAUACGGUUUCAACGCCAGAAGUAGCAUGAUUCACAAGUUAAUUGAUGUUGGCUGUUAGCGGCCAACUUUGGACAACUCAAAGUCGUCGUUUCUUCUGAUGCAAACCA